AUAUCGAAACAUGUCCGGAAGUGGGGGAUAACGUAGCGAAAGUUACGCUAAUACCGCAUAUGCCCUGAGGGGGAAAGGGGGGGAUCGCAAGACCUCUCGCUUUCGGAGUGGCCGAUAUCGGAUUAGCUAGUUGGUGAGGUAAAGGCUCACCAAGGCGACGAUCCGUAGCUGGUCUGAGAGGACGACCAGCCACACUGGAACUGAGACACGGUCCAGACUCCUACGGGAGGCAGCAGUGGGGAAUUUUGGACAAUGGGCGCAAGCCUGAUCCAGCCAUACCGCGUGAGUGAAGAAGGCCUUCGGGUUGUAAAGCUCUUUCAGCCGGAAAGAAAUCGUGCAACCUAAUACGUUGUAUGGAUGACGGUACCGGAAGAAGAAGCACCGGCUAACUACGUGCCAGCAGCCGCGGUAAUACGUAGGGUGCGAGCGUUAAUCGGAAUUACUGGGCGUAAAGCGUGCGCAGGCGGUUUGGUAAGACAGACGUGAAAUCCCCGGGCUUAACCUGGGAACUGCGUUUGUGACUGUCAGACUAGAGUGUAGCAGAGGGGGGUAGAAUUCCACGUGUAGCAGUGAAAUGCGUAGAUAUGUGGAGGAAUACCAAUGGCGAAGGCAGCCCCCUGGGUUAACACUGACGCUCAUGCACGAAAGCGUGGGGAGCAAACAGGAUUAGAUACCCUGGUAGUCCACGCCCUAAACGAUGUCAACUAGGUGUUGGGGAAGGAGACUUCUUUAGUACCGCAGCUAACGCGUGAAGUUGACCGCCUGGGGAGUACGGUCGCAAGAUUAAAACUCAAAGGAAUUGACGGGGACCCGCACAAGCGGUGGAUUAUGUGGAUUAAUUCGAUGCAACGCGAAAAACCUUACCUACCCUUGACAUGUCAGGAAGUUUCCAGAG
rnacentral:rRNA from 1 species